AGAGCCAUUGAGAGCCUGAUAAAGAAUCGCGUAAGGGGAGAGAGCGUCCCUUCGGGGACAUCCGAUAAAAUUGGAACGAUACAGAGAAGAUUAGCAUGGUCCCUGCGCAAGGAUGACACGCACAAAUCGAGAAAUGGUUCAAUUUUUUUUUAUUUUUUUGCCCUCAUUCUCAUACGUUAAUUUACGGAUAUGCCCCUCUCAGAUUCGAACCAUUCCUGGACCAGCAAGACCGUCAGGGAAAGUAUCGGAUGGGAAGUUUUGUGAUUUCUGGUUCGAUUUAAUCAUCAUUGCCUUUGGAUUCAAGUAUUUGAUGAGAAGAUCUGUAGUUAUGGUUUCUGGGUUUUUGGUGAGGUUUGAUUGUCUGGUUUCGGUGGUGUCAGUUUAAGGAUUCUGGCUUUAUGUGCAAUACCGUGUUUGAUUAGCAAAUUCAACAAGGAUCCCAGCGUGUGGAGCUUGUAAAGAACACUUUCCUCUUUGGAAUCCAAUGAAAUCAGAGGUGGCAAGGGCUUUAAUCACUGCCGGCCGCCGUUCUCAUGGCUUCCGUUGGUUGUCGCUCCUUUCCGACUUUUCCUCCUUCAAUCUCCACCAUCGCCCUCACUCUCUUUCUUCUUAGGUAGGUCGCACUCACUCUUUCUUCUCAGGUAUGAAGUGGAAAAUAUACAAGAAAAAGUUCUCCUUUAAUUGCUCAAAUAGAAAAUAAUUUAUGUAGCAUAUGGUUUCCAGGAAGAACAUCCAAGUUUGAGAAGCCUUUUGGAGGUUUUAGACGCAUUGGAACUAUUUAGCAAAAAAUUCUUGAUCUGUAAAUCAUAAAUGUUAGUGCUUUUGCUUAGAAAUCAUAAUUUCUUGAAAUGAUUAGAUGUUGCUUCCAAUUCAAUAUGUUGUUUCAAAUAUUCUGAUUUUGUAUUUGGUUGAAGUCAUGAAUUGAUGUUGUUCUAUCAUUUGUUUAAUGUGACUACAACUAGCAAACCCCCAACUCUCUCUCU